AACGAACGCUGGCGGCGUGCCUAACACAUGCAAGUCGUGCGAGAAAGUUCCUUCGGGAGCGAGUAAAGCGGCGCACGGGUGAGUAACACGUAGGUAACCUGCCCCCCAGUCUGGAACAACUAGAGGAAACUCUAGCUAAUGCCGGAUCGAGACCACGAUCCCUUCGGGGGUUGCGGCCAAAGAUGGCCUCUACUUGUAAGCUAUCGCUGAGGGAUGGGCCUGCGGGCCAUUAGCUUGUUGGUGAGGUAACGGCUCACCAAGGCUGUGAUGGCUAGCUGGUCUGAGAGGAUGACCAGCCACACUGGGACUGAGACACGGCCCAGACUCCUACGGGAGGCAGCAGUGGGGAAUAUUGCGCAAUGGGCGAAAGCCUGACGCAGCGACGCCGCGUGGGUGAUGAAGGCCUUCGGGUCGUAAAGCCCUGUCGCAGGGGAAGAAUAAGCAUCGGUAUAAUACGCCGGUGCCCUGACGGUACCCUGCAAGAAAGCACCGGCUAACUCCGUG
rnacentral:rRNA from 1 species